rnacentral:snRNA from 1 species
GGAUGUAAGGGUGAUCUGGCUGCAACAUCUGUCACCCCAUCGAUUGCCAGGGUUGAUUCGGAUGAUCUGGCUGGCUAGAGGCAGGUGUCCCCUUCCUUCCUCAAUGAUCCACAUGCAUCCCUCCUGAAGCUACACGCUCAGUUGAAGAAGACAACCACCCCGACAGAGGAGGACCAUUUCUUGGCCAAGGGUAUACGAGUAGCUGAUCUCCCCUGCUAGAACCUCCAAACAAGUUCUCAGAAAAGUAUAAAAAUGAGGUAUACAAAGUAAAGCCAUAUUAACAUGCUGAGGUGUAAAAUGCUCAUGU